UUUUGUUUCUUUCUUUCUUUUUUUAUUUCUUUUGAUUUUGAUUUGAUUUUGAUUUUGAUUUUGCACCCUCCUCUUUCUCUUUUUUUUUAUUACAUUUGUAAUGCCCCAGUUGGACUGUUUUGCUGAUUCUCGAGAUGCAACUGAGUGAUCUUCUUUUCUUGCUCAAGAAGUCGGGAAAUCUCGUCAGGAAUCCCUUCAACAUCAUCUUCCUCUGCUUCGAAUACAGGGAAUUCAAAAUUGGGAGAUGGCGUUGGAUUAUUAUGUUCAAUGGGUUUUAGAAUCAACCUGCAUAAUGAUUUUGAAUAUGAAAGCUUUUUGGAAAUC
rnacentral:lncRNA from 1 species